GACGAACGCUGGCGGCGUGCCUAAUACAUGCAAGUAGAACGCACAGUUUAUACCGUAGCUUGCUACACCAUAGACUGUGAGUUGCGAACGGGUGAGUAACGCGUAGGUAACCUGCCUGGUAGCGGGGGAUAACUAUUGGAAACGAUAGCUAAUACCGCAUAAUAUUAAUUAUUGCAUGAUAAUUGAUUGAACGAUGCAACUGCAUCACUACCAGAUGGACCUGCGUUGUAUUAGCUAGUAGGUGAGGUAACGGCUCACCUAGGCGACGAUACAUAGCCGACCUGAGAGGGUGAUAGGCCACACUGGGACUGAGACACGGCCCAGACUCCUACGGGAGGAAGCAGUAGGGAAUCUUCGGCAAUGGACGAAAGUCUGACCGAGCAACGCCGCGUGAGUGAAGAAGGUUUUCGGAUCGUAAAGCUCUGUUGUAAGAGAAGAACGGGUGUGAGAGUGGAAAGUUCACACUGUGACGGUAUCUGACCAGAAAGGGACGGCUAACUACGUG
rnacentral:rRNA from 1 species